UAAGGGAUCUUGCGCAAUGGGCGGAAGCCUGACGCAGCGACGCCGCGUGAGCGAAGAAGGGUUUCGGCCUGUAAAGCUCUUUUGUAGGUGACGAGGAAGGACGGUAGCCUAGGAAUAAGUCUCGGCUAACUACGUGCCAGCAGCCGCGCUAAGACGUAGGAGGCGAACGUUAUCCGGAGUUACUGGGCGAAAAGAGCGCGCGGGCGGAUGGACAAGUCAUGCAUGAAAGCUCCUGGCUAAACUGGGAGAGGCUGGAUGAGACUGUUUGUCUAGAGCGGUAGAGAGGGAAGUGGAAUUCCACAUGUAGUCGUGAAAUGCUUAGAUAUGUGGAGGAACACCAUAGGCGAAGGCGGCUUCCUGGCUACUGACUGACGCUGAGGCGCGAAAGCAUGGGUAGCGAACGGGAUUAGAUACCCCGGUAGUCC
rnacentral:rRNA from 1 species